UCAGUACUCCAUCCGUCCCAAAAUUCUCGUCUUAGAUUUGUCUAAAUACGGAUGUAUCAAUUCACGUUUUAGUAUUAGAUACAUCCGUAUCUAGACUAAUCUAAGACAAAAAUUUUGGGACGGGGGAGUAUUUC
rnacentral:pre_miRNA from 1 species